AUGAAGAUCUCCAACCAUAGCCACCGUAAUCAUCAUCCUCACUCCCACACAAGUCCACGCAGCCGCCAGGAGGCUCUCCCAUCUCACCUUGGGGGAGGCCUCUCUCUCUCCAUCACCAUCACCAUGAAGGCCAUGCAACAGGAGGAGAAGGAGGCGCCGCCACCAUCACCAGGCGCCGGCCAUAGGCUGGGCGCGCCGGUGCCCAUCUCCAUCUCCAUCCUCGUACUUGUAUUUUGUAAGAUUAAACAUGUUGAUGGCAACAAUAAAGCAUUCCUCUUUGUGUGCCUUUCAUCUAUGUUUGAGCAAUUGAUCUGGUUCUAG
rnacentral:rRNA from 1 species